AAACUAUGAUGACAUGAAAUAUGCCAUAAGGAAACUUGAUGAUUCUGAAUUUCGAAAUGCCUUUUCUCGAGCAUAUGUACGGGUCAAGGAGUAUGACUCUAGACGUAGCUACUCCAGGAGCCCAUCUCGUGAUUCUAGACGAAGUGAGUAUUCAAGGAGCCCUAGUUGUAGUCCCUAUAGGGAAAGAGGUCGGAGCCGAAGCAGAAGUCGAAGUCGAACCCUCAGUCGUAGCCGUAGCCGUAGUCAUAGCGGCAGGAGCACUAGUCUAUCUCCGAGGCACAAGCACUCUCGUCGGUCAAGGUCAAUUUCUGAACAAUCCCCAUCAAAGUCUCUUACAAGAUAUGGGCUUUUGCGGAACAAUUGGGACUUCAUGUU
rnacentral:misc_RNA from 1 species